rnacentral:rRNA from 1 species
UAGGGAAUAUUGCGCAAUGGGCGAAAGCCUGACGCAGCGACGCCGCGUGCGGGAUGACAGCGUUAUGCGUUGUAAACCGCUUUUGGCAGGGAAGAAGCGAAAGUGACGGUACCUGCAGAAUAAGCCCCGGCCAACUACGUGCCAGCAGCCGCGGUAAUACGUAGGGGGCAAGCGUUGUCCGGAUUCAUUGGGCGUAAAGAGCUCGUAGGCGGUUUGCCAAGCCGGUGGUGAAAACUCGGGACUCAACUCCGAGCCUGCCACCGGAACUGGCAGACUUGAGUCUGGUAGGGGAGUGUGGAAUUCCUGGUGUAGCGGUGGAAUGCGCAGAUAUCAGGAGGAACACCGGUGGCGAAGGCGGCACUCUGGGCCAGUACUGACGCUGAGGAGCGAAAGCUAGGGGAGCAAACAGG